UAUUGUAUCCAGUCCAGGCAAGUAACAAGCCUUGCAUUUUUUCUUCUUUUUUGAUUAUUUUAUCUUAAAAGUUUAGAGUGUAAAUCAGGCACCAUCACCUUGAAGAAACGUCUGUUAAUUGGAAGUUCCUCUUCCAUUGUAGAAGGAGAAGAAGAUAGCAUUUUUAAGAUUUUGCAAAGGGUCGAUUCCGUCAGACUUGUCGAAAUAAGGGAAAAUUAUCAUAAAGCAUAAAAGCAAAGCAUAGAAUAGAUCUUAAAAGAAAAUUAAAUCCCUGAAGAGGUACCUUUUUAUUGAUUUCUUCAGAAAACUUGCUCAACAUAUUCUACAUAGAUAUGUAAUUAAAUAAAAAAUCUUCUUUAAUAAAGACAAUCAGGAAUCUAUUAUUUCUCAUAGAUUUACUGUAAAUUUCAUUACUGGUGGCUUAUUAAGUGCAGAAAUUAUGUUCUAAGACUAAAGAGGUCGGUCAAGGAGAUUGAUUGAUUAAUGCAUUAUGAGGAAUGAUCUCAGGUGGCUUUUGUUAGAUGCAUUUAAGCUGAUGUUAUGUUUGUACUUCUUUUAAUUUACUUUCAUUGUUGUUCUUAAAUUUUAUUAUGUGUUAUGGCAUGUAU